rnacentral:rRNA from 1 species
UACGGAAGGCAGCAGUGGGGAAUAUUGCACAAUGGGCGCAAGCCUGAUGCAGCCAUGCCGCGUGUAUGAAGAAGGCCUUCGGGUUGUAAAGUACUUUCAGUCGUGAAGGAAGGUGUUAAGGUUAAUAACCUUAGCAAUUGACGUUAGCGACAGAAGAAGCACCGGCUAACUCCGUGCCAGCAGCCGCGGUAAUACGGAGGGUGCGAGCGUUAAUCGGAAUUACUGGGCGUAAAGGGCACGCAGGCGGUUAAUUAAGUUGGAUGUGAAAUCCCCGGGCUUAACCUGGGAAUGGCAUUCAAGACUGGUUAGCUAGAGUCUUGUAGAGGGGGUAGAAUUCCAUGUGUAGCGGUGAAAUGCGUAGAGAUGUGGAGGAAUACCGGUGGCGAAGGCGGCCCCUGGACAAAGACUGACGCUCAUGUGCGAAAGCGUGGGGAGCAAAC